AUCCUCUCAGGAUGGCACCUGAAAAGUAUCUGGUACUCUACCAGUCUCAGCUACAAGAGGGAGAGUCGAGCAGAGGCCUACCCAUUCCAUUCUUAGCUUGGGUGGUGGCUAGCGAGUGGAAGGCAAUCUGCUACAAGU